rnacentral:tRNA from 1 species
GCUUUUAAGAUAUCCUUCUAACUAUAAUAUACAACAUUAUUAUUUUUUAUAAACUAUAAAAGCA